rnacentral:rRNA from 1 species
UGGAGAGUUUGAUCCUGGCUCAGAUUGAACGCUGGCGGCAUGCCUUACACAUGCAAGUCGAACGGUAACAGGUCUUCGGAUGCUGACGAGUGGCGAACGGGUGAGUAAUACAUCGGAACGUGCCCGAUCGUGGGGGAUAACGCAGCGAAAGCUGUGCUAAUACCGCAUACGAUCUACGGAUGAAAGCGGGGGAUCGCAAGACCUCGCGCGGACGGAGCGGCCGAUGGCAGAUUAGGUAGUUGGUGGGAUAAAAGCUUACCAAGCCGACGAUCUGUAGCUGGUCUGAGAGGACGACCAGCCACACUGGGACUGAGACACGGCCCAGACUCCUACGGGAGGCAGCAGUGGGGAAUUUUGGACAAUGGGCGAAAGCCUGAUCCAGCCAUGCCGCGUGCAGGAUGAAGGCCUUCGGGUUGUAAACUGCUUUUGUACGGAACGAAAAAGUCUUCUCUAAUACAGGGGGCGAAUGACGGUACCGUAAGAAUAAGCACCGGCUAACUACGUGCCAGCAGCCGCGGUA